GGAGACAUUGUGUUGGGUGAUUUGGCACACUCAGAAAGACUUCGGGACUUUGGGUACUGCAGGUGUUUUAGGAGCGAGGAGGUUAUACGUGCUAUUAGUAGGAUGAGCAGGGGAAGAGCGACCGGACCCGAUGAGAUUCCGGUGGAUUUUUGGAAGAGCACGGACAAGGCAGGUAUAGAGUGGUUGACUGGGUUGUUUAAUGUUAUUUUUAAGACAGCAAAGAUGCCUGAUGAAUGGAGGUGGAGUACAAUGGUUCCGUUGUAUAAAAACAAGGGCGAUAUCCAGAACUGUAACAACUACAGGGGUAUCAAGUUGCUAAGCCAUACUAUGAAGAUUUGGGAAAGAGUAGUGGAGAUGAGGGUGAGAAGAGGGGUGUCCAUUUCUGAGAACCAGUUUGGAUUCAUGCCUGGACGGUCGACGACCGAAGCCAUUCACCUUAUGCGAAGACUGGUAGAAAAAUAUAGAGAAAGGAAGAGAGACCUACAUAUGGUGUUCAUUGACCUUGAAAAGGCCUAUGACAAAGUACCGAGGAAUGUCCUCUGGAGGUGCUUGGAGGCUAAAGGUGUCCCGAUGAUUUAUAUUAGGGCGAUAAAGGACAUGUACGGUGGAGCCAAGACUCGGGUUAGAACGGUUGGAGGUGACUCGGAGCAUUUCCCAGUUGAGAUGGGGUUGCACCAAGGAUCAGUCCUUAGCCCUUUUCUAUUUGCUUUGGUGAUGGAUGAGUUGACGCGGUCUAUUCAAGAGGAGGUCCCAUGGUGUAUGUUAUUUGCGGAUGACAUAGUACUGAUUGAUGAGACGCGGGACAGAGUUAAUGCGAGGUUGGAAGUGUGGAGACAAACGAUUGAGUCCAAAGGGUUCAAGUUGAGUAGGACCAAAACAGAAUAUUUGGGGUGCAAAUUCAGUGAUGCGUUGGAUGAGGCAGAUGUAGAAGUGAGACUUGCCACACAGAGCAUCCCCAAGAAAGAAAGUUUUAAGUAUCUUGGGUCUGUAAUACAAGGAAGUGGUGACAUCGAUGAUGAUGUCACACAUCGCAUUGGGGUUGCGUGGAUGAAAUGGAGGCUUGCCUCUGGAGUCUUGUGUGAUAAGAAAAUUCCACCUAGACUUAAAGGUAAGUUCUACAGAGUGGUAGUUAGACCGGCCUUGUUGUAUGGAGCGGAGUGUUGGCCAGUCAAGAACUCACAUGUUCAAAAAAUGCAUGUUGCGGAGAUGAGGAUGUUGAGAUGGAUGUGUGGACAUACUAGGAGUGAUAGGAUUAAGAAUGAAGUUAUCCGGGAGAAGGUGGGAGUGGCCUCUGUGGUGGACAAGUUGAGGGAAACGAGACUGAGAUGGUUUGGUCAUGUGAAGAGACGGGGCGCAGACGCCCCAGUGAGGAGGUGUGAGGGGCUGGUUGUAGAGGGUACGCGGAGGGGUAGAGGUAGGCCUAAGAAGUAUUGGGGAGAGGUGAUUAGACAGGACUUGGCUCAGCUUCACAUUACCGAAGACAUGACUCUAGAUAGGAAGGAGUGGAGGUCUCGUAUUAAGGUUGAAGGUUAGUAGGGCUAGCGUGUUGUCUCUUCUUGCAAGGGUAGGGGUUGUAGCGUGUGUAGUAGUCCUAGUCUUGCACUUGCAGUUCUUUUCUGUGAGAUCGAUAGCCUUUUGUUGUUUAUUGUGUUUCAUUUCUCUCAUUGUGUAUUGAGCUAUUAGUAGGAUGAGCAGGGGAAGAGCGACCGGACCCGAUGAGAUUCCGGUGGAUUUUUGGAAGAGCACGGACAAGGCAGGUAUAGAGUGGUUGACUGGGUUGUUUAAUGUUAUUUUUAAGACAGCAAAGAUGCCUGAUGAAUGGAGGUGGAGUACAAUGGUUCCGUUGUAUAAAAACAAGGGCGAUAUCCAGAACUGUAACAACUACAGGGGUAUCAAGUUGCUAAGCCAUACUAUGAAGAUUUGGGAAAGAGUAGUGGAGAUGAGGGUGAGAAGAGGGGUGUCCAUUUCUGAGAACCAGUUUGGAUUCAUGCCUGGACGGUCGACGACCGAAGCCAUUCACCUUAUGCGAAGACUGGUAGAAAAAUAUAGAGAAAGGAAGAGAGACCUACAUAUGGUGUUCAUUGACCUUGAAAAGGCCUAUGACAAAGUACCGAGGAAUGUCCUCUGGAGGUGCUUGGAGGCUAAAGGUGUCCCGAUGAUUUAUA
rnacentral:lncRNA from 1 species